AGGAAGAAAGGGAGAAAGGAAGAAUAAGGAAAAAAGAAAAGAGGAGGAAAAAGAAGGAAGAAAGGAGAAAACAAGAAGAUAGAAGGCAAGAGGACAAGAGAAGAGAUAGAAGCGGGGGAGGAAAGAAAGAACAAAAAACAGAAGGAAAAGGGGAGAGGAGAGAAAGAAGAACGAAAAAGAAGAAAAUCUGGUACCAGGCUGGAUGAAUAGCCCACUUCAUCACAAAUUUCAGAUCAAUUCUUGAGUUUUUGGGAGGAUUUCGUUGUUUCUGCACUUUUCCUAGACAUAUUAGAACAACUUUCUUAUAGAAAUGUUUUAGGAAAAACAUCUCUGAGCCUUCCAAAUCGAGACCCAAAGUGUCAGGUUCAUCAUUGCUGAAAUUUCUGCGACGAAGUUCUCGACUUCAUUUCUGGAAUCAGCGCGAUUUUUUGGGGGCAUUUCACCUUCAUUUUAUUUCACCAUGGUUCUAAGGUAACCAUAGUUUCUUCCCUUGUUGCUUUAACACGAUUUUUCAUGAAACUCAAGCCUGUUAGACAUGAAUCUUGAGUUAUUUUGCUGCUGGGUUUUGCUUUAUAUUUCAACUGUGCUCAUUUUUAGAUGAUUGGCUUGAUCAUGGCUCUUUGCAAUUUGAGUUUAGCUUUGGGAUUGUGAAAUAAAGUUCAUAAGAUCUCGUUUGUUUGGAUUUUUGUCUUGUGCAGUUUCUGGAUAAUGAAGAACCCAGAGUUGCAGAUAAAGAAGAAAGCUUUCUUCGAACCAUUUGCAUGUGUUUUUUCAAAAAUUACAUUUUGACCCCCAUACUUUUGACUAAUUACACUAUGGCCCAAAACUUGGAAAAAUCUAACUUAUUUCGCCCUUUUAAGUUUAAUUCCUUUUUUUUUUGCAUGUUUUAUGUGACUUUUUGAGUAGAUUAUUUCUGGGUUUUAGAGUAUAAUUAGGUCUUAAUAAUUUUUGGUUGGUUUAAUAUUUUGGUGGGGUUUUAUAAGAAGAUGAAAAUUGGGUUAUAAGUCAUGUUUGUUUGGGUUUAACAAAAUGGGUUUUGAUUACUUUUAGUUGGAUUUUGACAUCGUUUGGGAAGCCAAAGCCUUUGCUUUUUUCGGUUGGGCUGAAGUGAUAAAAGAUGGGCUGGCCUGCAUUUUUUCUUAAGGCUUUCAGUUGGGCUUGGGAGAGAAGGCCUAGGUGUUUUGGUUGGACCAACUGAUGGAUUAGCUCGUCCGUUUUCUUCGGAUUCUCUGAUGGACCGAAAUGGCUUUGGCCCAAUAAAAAAUAAUAAAACAGCCCGUUGGCCCUUUUCUUUAAGAAGGCAGGUGAUGAAAUUGCAUUCUAGUCCUUUUACUUUUAAUUAUCUUUAUUUUGGCUCUAAAAACUUUGGAUUUUUUAAUUAGGUCCCUAUUUUAAUUUCAUUUUGGCCCUAAACUUUAUUUUUAUUUAAUUUUGACCCCUAUAUUUUUUAAUAAUUAUAAUUUAACCCCAAAACUUUCUUAAUUUUUAAAUUAGAUCCCUAAUAGUUUUGAUUUCUUAAAUCCAAGUUGAUUUUCUUCUUUAAUUGUUAAUUAUACUUUAUUUAAGUGCUUUAAUUGUAGAUUUCAUGAUUAUUUCCAUUUCUUUAUAAUUAAAUUGGUACAUUGAUCAUUUUGUUGAUUUUGGAGCAUAAAUAGGGCAAAUUUCACUAAUUUAACCACAAUUUCAAGGGAGAUAACUUCUUUUAUCAUUUUAAAUUCUUUUAUGUGCUCCAAUGUGUUUUAUGUGUAAUUGCAUGCUUUGAGUGCUUUUUCUUUUAAUUACUUAUUUUAUCCAUUUUUAAAUUUUGUUUGUUUUAUUUAAUUUUGAUAAUUAUUUGUGAGGCAUUUAAAUGCCAAAUUGUAAUAGAUAGGAGUUCAAGACAUGUAUUUAGCUAGUCUAUGUAAUAGAUAGGUUUUAAUUUUUGCUAAAAAUGUAUUUAGUUAGAUAAAUAUAAUAGUUAGGGUAUUAUUUUUAAAAUUUUCCCCUUUAGA
rnacentral:lncRNA from 1 species